rnacentral:rRNA from 1 species
GACGAACGCUGGCGGCGUGCCUAAUACAUGCAAGUUGAGCGCUGAAGGUUGGUACUUGUACCCACUGGAUGAGCAGCGAACGGGUGAGUAACGCGUGGGGAAUCUGCCUUUGAGCGGGGGACAACAUUUGGAAACGAAUGCUAAUACCGCAUAAAAACUUUAAACACAAGUUUUAAGUUUGAAAGAUGCAAUUGCAUCACUCAAAGAUGAUCCCGCGUUGCAUUAGCUAGUUGGUGAGGUAAAGGCUCACCAAGGCGAUGAUACAUAGCCGACCUGAGAGGGUGAUCGGCCACAUUGGGACUGAGACACGGCCCAAACUCCUACGGGAGGCAGCAGUAGGGAAUCUUCGGCAAUGGACGAAAGUCUGACCGAGCAACGCCGCGUGAGUGAAGAAGGUUGUCGGAUCGUAAAACUCUGUUGGUAGAGAAGAACGUUGGUGAGAGUGGAAAGCUCAUCAAGUGACGGUAACUACCCAGAAAGGGACGGCUAACUACGUG